rnacentral:lncRNA from 1 species
AGUUUGAGGGACCAGAUGUUAACACGAAUUCUUAGUGCUUUGGAAGGAACAUGAGAAAGUAUCAUUUUCUCUUUUUAGCUGAUUUUUCAAAUCUGCUAUUUCUUUGCUAUUUUCUGAUCUCUGAGAUCCUUGGAAAUUUUUAUCCGUCGAUAAUUUCUUUGGACUGUAAGCUGCAUAAGAUCUUGGUACACGAAGUUCACAAGAGAAACAUAACAACUUCCAUGCUUCUGCUUUAGAUGCUAUGAGGAUAUUGAGACCUUUAGCUUUCUACGGUGUUGUCCGUUUCACCUCCUUAUGUUUGUGGUGCUCGUAGUCUGCGCGUCCUUUUCAGUUUGUUUUGAAGAAAAAUCAGUGAACAAAUUUUGAAGCUGUAGAGGCACUUAUCAAACACCCUGCUUCACUAUAUAUGUUCCACAAUCAAGAGGGAACUCGAUUCUUGACUUUUGAAAGCCAUAAGAUCUAGAUACCUUCAGUUUAUUUGAAGGUUGGAUUGUUGCUUCAGUUUUUUUAGUUCGUUCACACUUUGGAACAUCAGAAGAUGACAUACUCUUCAAGGCUGAAGAGUAGUAGUUCUUCAAACAACCUAGUGAAACAAUGUAGUGUUUUACUUUUCAGAUUUUUUUGGUCAAUGAUAUAUUGAUUUGGAUUAGUUUUCUGGCAUCUUAUUUGUCCAUUCAUUUUGAAAUGCAUUUGCUGAAGCUGGAUUAAGAUUUUGAAGGUCAGCUUCAUCUUCUUUGACGGCUUUCUAGUCCACAGCUGAAGGGGAAAGUUGAAAUGUCGCUAGUUGGUGGGUGUUCUUAAUUUUGAUUAGUUGAAUUGUUAAAGUUAGCUAAACGAAGAUCAGUGUUUGAUAAUAACUGAAAUAAAAGCAUAUGUUUUUGGGAUAUCUAACACAGAGAGCUCCUCAAAAAGGUAUCUUGCUGCUGAGUUCUCUCAGUAUGGUCGAUCACCUAUGGCUUAGAUGUACUUCUGCCAUAUAUUUGCUUGGCACUCGUUAGUUGGUUGAAAUAAGUGAAGGAAAGUAUAUGACCUUAAAUUGGAUCAAUUGGCAUUGUCAAGAAUUUAUCCGAGAUGUUAGAAUCCUUCAUAUUUGUUGUUUUAUGUUUUGCUGUUAUUGGCAUCGACUUCGUUGGGUACAUUUGAUCUGAGUCAACCUAAUGGGGUCAGAUGAGUGAAAUCUGUAGGACUGCAGAUUCUGCUGCCCAA